GACGAACGCUGGCGGCGUGCUUAACACAUGCAAGUCGAACGAAGUGGCGAACGGGUGAGUAACGCGUAAUCAACCUGCCCUUCAGAGGGGGACAACAGUUGGAACCGACUGCUAAUACCGCAUUCUGAAGGUGGGGAUUGCGUCUGAUUAGCUAGUGGGAGGGGUAACGGCCCACCAAGGCGAUGAUCAGUAGCCGGUCUGAGAGGAUGAACGGCCACAUUGGGAAUGAGACACGGCCCAGGAUCCUACGGGAGGCAGCAGGGGGGAAUCUUCCGCAAUGGAGGAAAGUCUGAAGGGGCAACGCCGCGUGAGGGAUGGAGGCCUUCGGGUUGUAAAGCUCUGUUAAUCGGGACGCGGUACCGGAAUAGAAAGCCACGGCUAACUACGUGCCAGCAGCCGCGGUAAUUC
rnacentral:rRNA from 1 species